rnacentral:rRNA from 1 species
AGAGUUUGAUCCUGGCUCAGAAUCAACGCUGGCGGCGCGCUUAACACAUGCAAGUCGAACGAGAAAGCCCGCAAGGGUGAGUACAGUGGCGCACGGGUGAGUAACACGUGGGUAAUCUGCCUCUGGGUGGGGAAUAACUCUGGGAAACCGGAGCUAAUACCGCAUAAGCCUGAGAAGGGAAAGGUGAAAACCGCCGAGAGAGGAGCCCGCGGCCGAUUAGCUGGUUGGUGAGGUAAAGGCUCACCAAGGCAAUGAUCGGUAGCCGGCCUGAGAGGGCACACGGCCACACUGGCACUGAAACACGGGCCAGACUCCUACGGGAGGCAGCAGUGGGGAAUCUUGCACAAUGGGGGAAACCCUGAUGCAGCGACGCCGCGUGAGCGAUGAAGCCCUUCGGGGUGUAAAGCUCUUUCGGCAGGAACGAUAAUGACGGUACCUGAAGAAGAAGCUGCGGCUAACUACGUGCCAGCCGCCGCGGUAAUAC